rnacentral:rRNA from 1 species
GGGUUGUGAGGUUAAGCGACUAAGCGUACACGGUGGAUGCCCUGGCAGUCAGAGGCGAUGAAGGACGUGCUAAUCUGCGAUAAGCGUCGGUAAGGUGAUAUGAACCAUUAUAACCGGCGAUUUCCGAAUGGGGAAACCCAGUGUGAUUCGUCACACUAUCAUUAACUGAAU